AAUUAUGGUGAGGCGUAUGGGGCCGACUUCGGUCGGGCCGGGUUCUUUGGUUGCCGGUAGUUCCAACCCUGUACGUCUCACCACCCCG
ncrna:Escherichia coli 101-1 C4 antisense RNA